AGUGAACGCUGGCGGUAGGCCUAACACAUGCAAGUCGAACGGCAGCACAGUAAGAGCUUGCUCCUACGGGUGGCGAGUGGCGGACGGGUGAGGAAUACAUCGGAAUCUACUUUUUCGUGGGGGAUAACGUAGGGAAACUUACGCUAAUACCGCAUACGACCUACGGGUGAAAGCAGGGGAUCUUCGGACCUUUCGCGAUUGAAAGAGCCGAUGUCGGAUUAGCUAGUUGGCGGGGUAAAGGCCCACCAAGGCGACGAUCCGUAGCUGGUCUGAGAGGAUGAUCAGCCACACUGGAACUGAGACACGGUCCAGACUCCUACGGGAGGCAGCAGUGGGGAAUAUUGGACAAUGGGCGCAAGCCUGAUCCAGCCAUACCGCGUGGGUGAAGAAGGCCUUCGGGUUGUAAAGCCCUUUUGUUGGGAAAGAAAAGCAGCAGGUUAAUACCCCGCUGUUCUGACGGUACCCAAAGAAUAAGCACCGGCUAACUUCGUG
rnacentral:rRNA from 1 species